rnacentral:rRNA from 1 species
GUACGCUGGCGGCACGCCUAACACAUGCAAGUCGAACGAAGUAGCAAUACUUAGUGGCAGACGGGUGAGUAACAUGUAGGUAUCUGCCCUUUGGCCUGGAAUAACACGAGGAAACUUGUGCUAAUACCGGAUAAGUCUUUACGGAGAAAGCUUUAUGCACCAUUGGAUGAGCCUGCACUUGAUUAGUUUGUUGGUGGGGUAAUGGCCUACCAAGACUGUGAUCAAUAGCUGAUUUGAGAGGAUGAUCAGCCACAUUGGGACUGAGACACGGCCCAAACUCCUACGGGAGGCAGCAGUGGGGAAUCUUGCACAAUGGAGGAAACUCUGAUGCAGCGAUGCCGCGUGAGUGAAGAAGGCCCUUGGGUUGUAAAGCUCUUUCGUCGGGGAAGAAAAUGACUGUACCCAAAUAAGAAGGUCCGGCUAACUUC